rnacentral:rRNA from 1 species
UGGGGAAUUUUGGACAAUGGGCGAAAGCCUGAUCCAGCAAUGCCGCGUGUGUGAAGAAGGCCUUCGGGUUGUAAAGCACUUUUGUCCGGAAAGAAAUCCUUGGCUCUAAUACAGUCGGGGGAUGACGGUACCGGAAGAAUAAGCACCGGCUAACUACGUGCCAGCAGCCGCGGUAAUGCGUAGGGUGCAAGCGUUAAUCGGAAUUACUGGGCGUAAAGCGUGCGCAGGCGGUUUGCUAAGACCGAUGUGAAAAUCCCCGGGCUCAACCUGGGAACUGCAUUGGUGACUGGCAGGCUAGAGUAUGGCAGAGGGGGGUAGAAUUCCACGUGUAGCAGUGAAAUGCGUAGAGAUGUGGAGGAAUACCGAUGGCGAAGGCAGCCCCCUGGGCCAAUACUGACGCUCAUGCACGAAAGCGUGGGGAGCAAAACAGGAUUAGAUACCCUGGUAGUCCACGCCCUAAAACGAUGUCAACCAGUUGUUGGGGGAUUCAUUUCCUUAGUAACGUAGCUAAACGCGUGAAGUUGACCGCCUGGGGGAGUACGGUCGCAAGAUUAAAAA